rnacentral:snRNA from 1 species
AACAGAUACUACACUUGA